rnacentral:rRNA from 1 species
UACGAAGGGGGCUAGCGUUGUUCGGAAUCAUUGGGCGUAAAGCGCGUGUAGGCGGCCCGGUAAGUCCGCUGUGAAAGUCCAGGGCUCAACCCUGGGAUGCCGGUGGAUACUGUCGGGCUCGAGUCCGGAAGAGGCGAGUGGAACUCCUGGUGUAGCGGUGAAAUGCGCAGAUAUCAGGAGGAACACCAAUGGCGAAGGCAGCUCGCUGGGACGUGACUGACGCUGAGACGCGAAAGCGUGGGGAGCGAACAGG